rnacentral:lncRNA from 1 species
GUUGUAGUUUAUAUGUGCUAUACGCGUGUUUGCAACAGUGCAGGCAGGUUUAUGAUGCACCUGCUUUUGCUUUUUCCUUAGGGAACAAUGUUUUUUACCUUCUUUCAAGUAGAACUCUACAGUGACAGAAGCUACACUCCUAACCUCCUGGGAAGCAAAUACAAAAGAGUAACAGAAGUGUCUGCAUCCUGAUUGUGUUCAAUCAAGCUACCCUACUUUCUGAUUUAUGUUAAUAAAGCUUUUGGAGAUUCCUAAGUGGAAUCAUUCUGUGCCUUCUGCAUAGAUCCUAGCUGAAGAAAUGCUUGCUGAGUGCUUUGCCACCUGAAAAUGUGGGGUGGGAAGGGAGAAAUCCUGUCUGGUCAACAAUUAUGUCAGUUUGGCUAAACACAUACAUUGCUGCCAGUGGCGACGCAACUCUCUGCCAGCACAGGCUUCAGCCAUUGCGCCUGCCGGGUGCCGUGACUCACUCCUGGUUCUCUCUGCAUGGAUCUGCUGCUGUGGAGCAUGUGCAGCAUAGGUGCCAUCUCCCCACCCAGCUACCAAGGUCUUCCAGGAAGCUCAAAACCAGUUUUAUCAGUUUCCUUCCAACUGGUGUAAGACUAAGACGGACAAUUUUACAACAAAAGGGGAUUUCUUGACAAUACUACAGCAGGAUGAUGAGAAGAAUCUUUUUCUCAUUAAACUAGGGCAGAGGACUGCAGUGGCACUUGUCUUAAAAGGUACUGUUACUAGCCUGCCUCUAGCCAUAGACUUCUCAUCUGUUGUUCUGCAACACCUGCUAAAUUCUUGGAAUUUCUCAGCAGUUUGUAGAUGGAGUCAAGAUCUCUGGGGUCCAAUGCCUAGUAUGUGACCUACAAGUGUAUUUCUGCUGCCUGUGGUAGAUACAAAGAAAGCAAGCAAGUUCUGUUUUAUUCCACUAGGAGGAAAAUCAGUAAAUGUUAUAUUAUCUAGCCCUUUAUGUGGGACUUUCUAAUGUGUUCUUUGGAGAGGACUGAAUCCUGCUUUCAGUUACACAUGGUAUGCUGAAGGUAUUGAUUUGCGACUUUAUUACCAGUCUUUAUUAUAAUUCUCUAUUUUGGGUGCUGUCUUUGCUCAGGAUCAAAACCAGAAUGUGUCUGUUUUUCUUAAUUGAACUUCUUACUGUUAUUUGUCUAUUUUACACCCACAACAUUCAAAACACUAGCUAUUUCAUGUGUGCUACCGUUAAUAUAUAAUGGAUGAGACCUUGGUACAAUUAAAAAAUACAGAAUGUAGCUGAGAUGAGACAGAGAUAUGAAAUGCAACUUAGUGAUUGUCUAAAAUAUAGCCAUGAUUCCAGCUUAAAAUCUAACAUUGUGUGACCAGUUGCUAUGUUUCAUUUGAAUCUUGUAUAAAAAGAAACUUGGAAAAUGCAAAAUAUUUCCUGUAUUCACAAAACUGCUAGUGCUUCUUUUCUCCAGUGGAAGUCACCUCCCUGUGUCUUUAACAGUGAGAUACACCCUCAGUAAUCUCAGUGAGAUACCUACCUCAGGAGGUAGCAGUAAUUCCCAGUAGUAUCAUUUGGCUUUUGUUUUCUUGUGGAAUUCAAUGCCAUUUUCAUUCAGCCUUUUUCUUCAUCUGAAGACCCUUAAGUUUCAGUCAUUGCUGUUAAUUCAGAAGAUACGGCUAUGUGAGUUGUGGUGAAAUUAAAUUUCCAUACAAAAUGCACAUUUUGUAUAUAAAAUAUACUUGUGGGUUUCUCUAAUGAAUGUGCCAAUGCCAUGAAGGGCCCACAACAGCUUCCCAGUCAGUGGCUACUAUUAUGUAGCGUUUAUUUUAUACACAAUUAUAGCGCCUCUUGUAAAGAGCAUCUCUAAUAUGACAUUUUUAAUAUAACAUAAUAGUUUUCUUUACCACAAUUCCUAAGACCCUAGCUCAAAAUUGAUAUAACAAAUAUUGUUCUGACCCACAGGAACCAAGUAAAAGUUUUGCCACUAACUUCACUCAAGACACGAUCUCAUCAUAAAGAAAUUUCAUAGAUCUGCAGCUAUUGUGCAUACCAGUUCAGGUAGAUCUGUUGACACUUUGAUCAGUUUAAUAUCAAGUAUUGUUGGGCUGUUUUUUCUAGGACCUUCUUCGUAUUUGUGGUUUUACUCUUCCAGAUAGGAAAAUGUGGAAUCUUUUGGCAAAACGAAAAGGAAGGAGAAAAUCCUGCAGCUUAAGUAUGUCUGGGCAUUGCUGCAUUGUCAGACUCGCUUUUUAAAAUUAGUUUUUCAGUUCUCAGAAGUGCUUUAGUAAAAGAUUAAUGUUGGUGUUCAGCAAUCACAGACUCUGGACUGUUUCUGUCCUGUAUCUGCUCCUUAUAGAAAAGGCCUGUAAUAGAAGCAGCAGGAUGACUUAAUACAAAGAAUUUUGAAAAAGGAAACUAAGCUGUUCUGUGUUCUCAUUUAUUAGACAGAGAGAGGGAACUGAAGAGUAACCUUUAAGGAACUCAAAUCGCACCUGAAUAAUUUGCAUUUAGAAAGGAUGUUCCUUUCGUGUUCAAUUGGUUUAUUGAAUCCAUGUUAGAUUUCUGUAAAUGCUGCACAGCUUUUGCAUCUCCAGUACUUUGCCUAAAUGAAAGACUAACCUUUGGAAUCUGGCUUGGCUAUAUUACAUUUAUGUUUAGUCUAAUAGAGGUGAUGAAAGUCAUUGAACUGAAUGGCACAAAUUCCCUUGGUCCUUUAGAAGCAGCUUUAACAACAAUCUCGCUUGGAUGUUCAGAGUGACAGGAAUUAACAUCAUUCCUAUACAUAGGAACAUGCUUCUGCUUGAAACAGCCUUCACAAAUUCAUGUUUCAGUAAUCUUCCAUGAGGGCAGUGUAGUGCCAAAGGAGGAAAAGCUGAAUACACUUUUCAUUCCCAGGAGAAAUUAAAAAGAAGGCAAGUGCUUUGAGUGGUU